rnacentral:rRNA from 1 species
UACGUAGGGGGCAAGCGUUGUCCGGAAUUAUUGGGCGUAAAGCGCGCGCAGGCGGUCGGAUCAGUCGAAUGUGAAAGCCCCCGGCUCAACUGGGGAGGGUCAUUCGAUACUGUCCGACUCGAAGGCAGGAGAGGGAAGCGGAAUUCCCGGUGUAGUGGUGAAAUGCGUAGAUAUCGGGAGGAACACCAGUGGCGAAGGCGGCUUUCUGGCCUGUUCUUGACGCUGAGGCGCGAAAGCUAGGGGAGCGAACGGG